AAGCCUAGACUUAGAAGUAAAGCGGUGACCCCUUCGCAGUGCCUGGUCACUUUUGGCCUGAGUGGGGGAGCAGUGCACUGCAGUUUUCCCCAAAGGAGACAAGUCAGGAUCCAAGGGCUGUUUUAAUUGGAAUUAUGUCUGCCUGAAGAAGUCUAAUUUUUCUCAGGAUCUUUGUCAUUCUCUGCGUGUUGCUCAAAUAAGAAAUUCCUGAGUCUGAAGUCUCGCUGUCCAGGAGGAGUCCCAAGAAGAGAUAAGAAGUCCACAGCCCCGAAAUAGAUUCUGUGAUAAACGGAGGCGGAAAAGAGCCUGCAGUAAGUACUAAGGAGGAAGGAACUAAAGAGUAUUGGAAAGUCCACUUGCUACAUGACAAAAGCAACCUGGAAAAAAUGGGAAGAGGGACCUCAGGAAUUUAACUUUUUACCUUGGGCCAACAGACCAUUUUGUAGUUCUGAAACUCCUUUGGACUUCAGUAUUGCUUUAGUUCCAAAACGGGACUGGAAAUGGGAAUGACAAAGCCAAAAAUAUCAAACAGCCUUGGAUCCUUGGUAAAAAAAACACUAGCAGCAACACAUGGCAGAGCUCACCUCCCCCAUGCUUCACAUUUCAUUGUAGGAGGAAAACCACAAGCUGAACCCUGCAAAGGCUAUUGUAAUUAACUCACAAGUCCUCCUGUGCUUCCUAGUGGUUUGAGUCUCUGAGGUGCUGAAGUAAUGUGAGAUGGGGUUACUUAAUAUGUGUUAUGGGAGGAGGAAACAAAAACGCAUUUUUAGUCUUGUUUGCUGAAAGAGUCCAUUAUGUCCAUUUAAUUUACUGUUUCCAGGUUCAAGGGAAUCAUCUCCACGUGACAUUUAUCUACGUUAAUUUGGGAUAAGAGGAGUUAACAUGUGUCAAUCAAGGUUUUAAUGGCAAAUAACAGAGACCAAGUCUGGCCCCUUGAAGCAGAAAAAACAUUUAUUUAAGUGUAUUAGAUGCUGUCCUAGAACCCAGGAGGGUGGAGAAUAAAGCUUGGAGGCUGUAUAAUCAGCCACAAUCCCUGACCUCAAUUCUGAGGCUGUCCUGAGUGACGCUCCACUGCCUUUGCUUCGGGCAAGAGACCACAGCUUGUCCUGGACCACGUCUCACACUGAACAAACUUCUGCCCUCUAUAAACUGGCUAUAGUGGCCACCAUCCCAGCACACCCCCGAAUCCUAAGCAGGGUCCUCCGGGUCCUUGCUCUCCAACGAUCUUUAUGAGGCUCUCCCCCUGCCUCUUUUGGGAAAC